GCAGCCAAGCCCAUCAGACUAAGGGUGUCUUAGCCUUAAAAGGGGCUUUUCUAAAAUCAGAUCUUUCAUUAAGCCAUUUUCCCUUCUCUCUCUAAAACCAGGUUCUUCAAAUCCUCUGCCUUCUCUCUAGCUUUACUCUCCAUUGAACCGUUCAAAUCUUACUUGGGUGCUGCCAAACUGUUCCUGGCGUCAAGGGCUUCACUUCGAACCGAUUACUUUCUUUGUCUCCUUCUAGUUCUGUAAGUGCAUCGCCGUGUGGGUCACUGUUAGGGCGUUUUCUGUAGACUGCACGGGACAACCUAGAGAGGAGAAUGAGGUCUCCCUAGAAAACGUCUUGGAAGGAAAUGAAGAUGCUGCUGCUUAGACUCUUUAGGAUUUCUGGGCCUGUUUAGCCCUUUUGGAACACUUUUAAAUUUAUGUCAUUUUGAGAUACUCUAGCACUUUCUGUUUCAAAGUCUUACUCAAUUUGUGGAUGACUGUAAUCCUCAUACUUUAAUUACUCUAACUGCUUUAUAGUAUUGUAUGUGGUGACGUCUUAUUUUAUAUGCAUGACGUAUAUAAUGGGGAUGUCACAUGAUCCACUUUGACCGAUC